rnacentral:rRNA from 1 species
CCUACGGGUGGCUGCAGUGGGGAAUUUUGUGCAAUGGGCGAAAGCCUGACGCAGCAACGCCGCGUGGGUGAUGAAGGUCUUCGGAUCGUAAAACCCUGUCGUCAGGGACGAAGGUUGCAUGUCGAAUAGAUGUGCAGCUUGACGGUACCUGGAGAGGAAGCCCCGGCUAACUCUGUGCCAGCAGCCGCGGUAAUACAGAGGGGGCAUGUGUUAUUCGGAAUUAUUGGGCGCGAAGGUCGCGUAGGCGGGGGUAAUCCCCGAGCUUAACUUGGGAACUGCAUCUCAGACUGUGUCGCUAGAGUACUGGAGAGGGUGGUAGAAUUCCACGUGUAGCGGUGAAAUGCGUAGAGAUGUGGAGGAAUACCAGUGGCGAAGGCGGCCACCUGGACAGUAACUGACGCUGAGGCGCGAAAGUGUGGGGAGCAAACAGGAUUAGAUACCCGGGUAGUC